AACGAACGCUGGCCGCAUGCCUAACACAUGCAAGUCGAACGAGACCUUCGGGUCUAGUGGCGCACGGGUGCGUAACGCGUGGGAACCUGCCCUUAGGUUCGGAAUAACUCCCCGAAAGGGGUGCUAAUACCGGAUAAUGUCUUCGGACCAAAGAUUUAUCGCCUUUGGAUGGGCCCGCGUUCGAUUAGCUAGUUGGUAGGGUAAAAGCCUACCAAGGCGACGAUCCAUAGCUGGUCUGAGAGGAUGAUCAGCCACACUGGGACUGAGACACGGCCCAGACUCCUACGGGAGGCAGCAGUGGGGAAUAUUGGACAAUGGGCGAAAGCCUGAUCCAGCAAUGCCGCGUGAGUGAUGAAGGCCUUAGGGUUGUAAAGCUCUUUUACCCGGGAUGAUAAUGACAGUACCGGGAGAAUAAGCUCCGGCUAACUCCGUG
rnacentral:rRNA from 1 species